rnacentral:rRNA from 1 species
UACGAAGGGUGCAAGCGUUACUCGGAAUUACUGGGCGUAAAGCGUGCGUAGGUGGUUCGUUAAGUCUGUCGUGAAAGCCCCGGGCUCAACCUGGGAAUGGCGAUGGAUACUGGCGGGCUAGAGUGCGGUAGAGGAGAGUGGAAUUCCCGGUGUAGCAGUGAAAUGCGUAGAUAUCGGGAGGAACACCUGUGGCGAAAGCGGCUCACUGGACCACAACUGACGCUGAGGCGCGAAAGCUAGGGGAGCAAACAGG